UAUUUAUUCUCACAGGUUAAUAGAAGGAUGUAUCCUGGAAACGUCAAGUCUGUUUUCCAAGAUCUUGUUAGGACAUUUCCCAGAAAUUUUGAGAUAGGUUUCUCUGUUGUGGGUGUAGCUCCAUGUUCCUACAAUUUUAAGCAGAGUGGCCCGAGAGGACAAUUCUCAUCCCACUGCACCUCUGUAGGUGUCUUUUCCAGGAUCCUUUAGCUGCAAUAUGAAACAAAUUGAAAUAGGUUGAACAUAAGCCAAAGUCUAGAAAUAUGAGAGUGUUUGGAUAAAUAUUCAUUAUGGCUGAAGUUUACUCCUAAUGGACCAAUGCAAAGACUAUGUACUAAUUAAGUGCAGGUUAAGUUCACUCAGGAGGCACCUAAGUGGUGAUCAGGCCCUCACUGUAGUCCGUACAUAGGGCUGAUUUUUAUACUGUCCAAACAUCAUUUGUCAGAGGGCUGACUUCUACAGAUUUUCUCCUUUUACAUCAUUCAUACUUUCAUUUCGUACAUUUUCCAGGUGGAGACGAAUAUGCUGUGUUGCUGAUGCAAUUGACUUUAUUAUUAUUCUUGGCACACAGCAGCUUAAUUGGUUUGAAGAAACAGUAGUUGCAGGGCCUGAUAAGUAGGAUGAUUGUCAUCAGGAGUCGUUUAGUGCUUUGCUAUCACAGAACAAACUCCCUGUGACUCACACUAAAAGGAGAAGGCCAGAUUUUCAUGUGGCAUACAGCAGAAGAAAAUGUUGCCUGUUGUGAAUGCGUGUGUCUUUUGUGUUUAAUUAAUUACUUUAAGAUUUUUCUUACCCACUGUAAGUUUUGUAUAAUCCAAUUCAGUCCAGCUUUGCAUUUGAAAUUCUUCUGUUAUGCCUCUCUGGACACUUUCUGUUUGACAUGUAUCUCUGUGAUGGGAAGAUUGGAACAGGACACCAAUCGCAAGCAAGCAGCUAUCCUCCCGCGUGUGCAUGGAGUCACAGGCCAGCAGCUGUCAGAUCAGCGACAGGACUCCCAAAGGGCUUUUGGGGACAGCAGAGAGCUUGUGAGUGUCCAGUCCUGGAUCCUGAGGAUUUGAGGAACUCGCUGACAUCUUUAUAACACCCCCUUCAUUCCUAGUUCCUACCUUGCUGUCACAAAAUGAGGUAAGCUAUUAACACCACAACCAGACUGUGGACUGCAGCCAUGUGUAUGCACAUGUACAGCUAGAAACAGCUCAGGUUCCCUUUUUUUUUUUUUUUUUUUCCCUUCUCCAAAACUGCCCAAACUCUUCCUAACUUCUUAAGAAAUUUAAGGGGAGGAGCUCGAAGCUCAUUGUAUGGAGGUGACUGAUUUCAUUAUGCCAGGCUUGCACUUUGCCCAUCCUCCUUUGGUUUUAGCCACAAGACCAAGUGCUGCUCUAGUGAAGCAGCAUGCCUGGUGCCUGGCUGACCCUCACCACAACAAGGUGCCCCACAUUGGGAUGGGACAGCAUGAAGGAGGAGUUACUUCACUGGUUUGUGGGCUCUCUGGGACAGGGAGGCAGCUGGAACCAUGGUGUGGGCUCAAAGCCACAAGACAAUAGUGAUAAAAAAAUGAAGAUGUGAGGCUCUCAUUUAUUUUUUACGUCACUUAUGCCCAUGGCAGUAGCUUUCAGGCACGACAGGGUGCUCAGUGCCACACAGGAGGCACAGAAAAGCCAGGAUCUUGCCAACCCUAAUGUGGAUGAAUAAUGUGGAUGACCCCUGGCCUCACCUCUCCACCCCAGAAGCUGUUACGUCCAUCAUCUAAAGAGCUCUGCAUCAGCCGCCGCUAUUUCUGCAGCUAUAACAGCUACCCCAAAGCAAGGCUGAAUAAAGCCAGGUCACUGUGAUCUAGUUUAAAACUG
rnacentral:lncRNA from 1 species